rnacentral:lncRNA from 1 species
GUUGAUUUCUGCAUUAACACAGCCUGCCUCUGCCACUCAGCAACUGAUCACUUUAUCAGCAGGAUACUAGAUACUUAUUAGGUCUUACACCCAGGGUAAAACAGACCCUGAAGAAGAGAGGGAACAGAAGAGGGAGAGAGCACAGAACCCACCACUGGCGAGAAGCUGGGAAAG